rnacentral:rRNA from 1 species
CACGUAGGAGACGAGCGUUAUCCGGAUUUACUGGGCGUAAAGGGCGCGUAGGCGGGCUGUCAAGUCUGGGGUGAAAUCCCGCGGCUCAACCGUGGAACUGCCUCAGAUACUGACGGCCUCGAGGGAGAUAGGGGCGAGCGGAACUAAUGGUGGAGCGGUGAAAUGCGUUGAUAUCAUUAGGAACUCCGGUGGCGAAGGCGGCUCGCUGGAUCUUUUCUGACGCUGAGGCGCGAAAGCUAGGGGAGCAAACGGG